GAUGCCUGGCUGCUGCUGCUGCUGCUGCUGCUGCUGCUGCUUUUUUGGCUGUGGAAUUGCUGCCUCUCUGUGACUCUGGUCUGGACUACGCUGCUGCCAUGUUGAUUUGGAUUCCAGGCUCCCAUGAAAUAAAGUGUUGAUUAUUACACCAUAUGAUACAAUGCAAUUGUCAUCUCUGGGGCCAUCUGAGGACUGGUGACAUCUCUCAUUGUGUUUGGACCCAGCUCCAUCUGUGAACCAUCCCUUUCCUCAGAAACAGUUAUCACUGAGGCCUUUGGAGGUGCAAUUUACAAUUCCCAGCAGAAGGAAGCAGAGCAGUGUGCAUCAUACAGAGAUGAAAUGAGCAACCUUCUCCGUGAGCAGCAGCUGACUGUGUGUCUAGAUUACUCAAGAACAGCUGCACAUGCACACAGUAUCUUCUAGUAUUCUGAGUCAGAGAAGAACAUCUGGGGAAAAUGGCCCUCAUUCCUGAAUACAGCCAAGCAUUUCAAGUUCUGCCAGUUUGUAUACUGAAACAGGACAACUCAGGACCUGCAAGUACCUGGUGAAAGCAGGAGUAUGGUAAAGGAAGCUAUCUGGACAUCAUGGCCUGGAGGGAAAAUCAGGCAGCAGGCCAAUGCAUGAUGGGGGAGAAGAGGAGCUGGAGCAGGUGGACUAGGGGUGCACAGGUCUAGCAAAGGAAAGGCAAACCAAUCCAAUGGAGGUAAUAAAUAAUUGAGUAACAAGGAAGGGUGAGGUUUGGAAUGGUUGUGGGGGCUGUUCUUCUCUAUUUAACAGUAGCAGUGGCCAGUGAUGAGGAGGACAUGUCAGAGGGAAGAUCCUCCUGUGAGAAGCCAAGCAAAGUGAAGACAUGUCCAGCAGGAGGCGUCCAGAAAUGAAGUAACUCCACCCCCUUCCACCGCAUCUCUGAGGCCCUAUCAGGAAGGCCCAAGGUGGCCCCGGGAUCCAAAUAUGCUGCAAGGUUGCCAUAGAAGCAAAAAGUCGCUCACCAGAUCCCAAGAAUCCUGAACCCAAGGUCCACGACGUGUCCAAGGGAGGUCUUAAGCUGAGGUGAAGCAGUCCAAUGUCUGGCUCAGGAAUCAAGUCUCAAGUAGCAGGAAUCAGGGUCUUAGCCCAGUUUUCCUCCAUCGUGUGAAUAGCCUCAUAGUCUGGAAACUACAACUGGUCCAAAAUGUGGACGGGAUGUGUGGGAUCGUGGAAGAAAGGAGGCGAUUGGCUGACAGAGGGGGAGGAGAUGAUUGGCUGACAGAGGGGGAGACACACACAAGAGUUCCAGCCACGCAUCCUGAGAGCACUGGCAACUGCUGCCACCCUGGGAAGGAGGACAGCUAGUGGGUAAAGCCCCACCACCCUGAGGAGGAGGACAGGCAGUGGGCAAAGCUCCGCAGCCCUCAGUAGGAGGAGGAUGGUCCACCAGUUGCGUGGCAGUGAGGCGGCAGCGGCAGAGGGCCCAGCUGUGGUGAGGAGGCGGUGGCAACAGCAAGGGUUGCAGUCACAUUGGAGCCAUUGCCCAUGACAAUGAAGCCUGAGGAGAGGUGUGGAAACCUGCCUAUCGAAACCUGCAAUGUCGGCAUAGGGAGAAGACCACUUUCCAGCUGAACAUGGUUCUUGAGGGGGUCGUGUAGUCGGGUGCUAGCAGCUGGAGAAUCUGGUGCAAGCCAGAGUUCUCAACCACCUG